ensembl:lncRNA
AAAACACCAAAGCUGUAUCCAAAUCCUUGCAUGAUCUGGGUGCUGUAGAACUUAAACUGACCAAAAGGCCACAACACAAAGUAUAAUUUGUAGGUAGUGUUGAAAAGGCUCUAAGUUAAUUCUUAUCGGUGGGUGAAUGAUUGACAGUCGUAACUUAGUCCCGCCCCCAGAGUCUGACGCAACUUAUGUUUCGCUUGAAGGCUGUGGAGGGCUCGCGUGUAUUCAAGCCAUAGAUGAGUGUGCGUAACUUUGAAAGUAAGUUUUAUUUCCACUUAUACUGUCUUUAAUCUUGUUUCUAUUGUUAUUUGCUGUAUUAUGGGUUGAAACGUUCAGAUGUUGAGUGUUUUCGGAUUUCCGUGAGGCUAAUGUUAGCGGUAUGACUGUGUGCAUUAUCUUUGCACGUGUGUUCCGAUGCGCGCUGUAUAAGUGAAAUAAUCACAACGACUCAUAUUUUUCCAUAUGUUUACUUUAUUGUCUACAAUUUACAGAUGUUAUUAAGCCAUAUUUAUGUGGAUUGUGAAGAUUACACUCGAUUGAGAUAUGGUUAUAAGACGAUAGUCACGUGUCUAUUUAUAGUCAAUUGUUACAUUUUAUAGUCAUGUAUCCUCACGCGUUUGAGUGAAAUGUAUAUCAUUUAUUACUGUAAACUGAUUAUUUAUAUUUCUGUUUUAUUGUAGAAACCACACUCACACACCCUUAAUAUGUUCAUGCCAUGCCCUGAGUAUGUUGAUGGCUUGAUCCUACUAUUAAAACAGUGAUUGGACUUUGGACUUUUGUGCAUUCUUACCGAUGUCCUGUGAUGAUCCCAACUAAGUCGGAACCAGGCAAUACAGUCCAUAAACCUAAUUAACAUUGGUCCUUCGAGCCGGAUAGGUGAUUGCCACAGGUUAAGAUGUCCAAAGCCCAUUCAGAGUCACAGUGUGAGCCUGAAGUCCGUAGUAGAUGACCAUCACGGCCCCCACGCCACUUGGAAGAUUAUGAGGUGGAUUACAGCGGCUUCCAGCAUUCAUAUCCACCUACUUCCAGGAUGCAAACAGAGCCUUACCGCUGGGAGUCAGGGAAUGAGGGUGCUGUCGGGAUGACACCCUUCACCAGGUGGCAUGCUACUCACCGCGGUGAUGUUACUGAGGAUACUGGAGAUCAGUAUGUACCACAAGAUGCUCAAACAGUGAUUUGGCAGCUACGAGAAGAGAACAGACGCCUGCAUAAAACCAUUGAGGACAUGAAACACAGCUCAGAAAGGGAGGAAACCGACUCAUCACAGUGUCCUGUGCCUUUUCCUCGCACUCACUCAUCGACAAAGGCAGCAAAGAAACCUUCUCCUGUCCCAACUCCACGUCUAAGCAAGUUAGCAGUAGCUCAAAUGAGUGAUCAGAUUUCUAAAGAGACUGGAAAACCAGUUAUGGAUAAAGGAAAGGAACAGUCGGAAGAUGAGGAGCUAGACUGUGAAAUUAAUUUGUCAGGUGAACUUUCAGAAAUGAAACUGCAGCCCACAUCAAAGAACAGGUAUGUGCAAUAUCAACCAAAUUCACCAAAUCCAUGUACAUUGCAAUCUCAGCACAAGAUAAGUGUACACGCUGCACAAAGCGCAAGCUAUGCACAUGACCAAAGACAUAUCCCACCAAAGCCACAAAUACGUGAUCCUUCCCCUGCAGCUGACUUUAGAUUCAGAGAACGAAUUGAUUACCACCCAAGACAACAUUUUCAUCCUAGAGACUUCGUUCAGCGCUCUCAUUCUCCUCCCACCAGAGAGAGCAUUUACAGAGGUCCGAGCCCUUCAAUACCAGACUUCACAGUGGAAGACCCACGACAGUUUGCUAGACUCAAAAUAUCUCUUGACAAUUUGCUGCCAUACGAUGCUACUGAACAGUUUAAAUAUCAAAUUCUGCUUGAGCAUCUGAAAUUCGAAGAGGCCCUUUUAAUUGCUGAUUCCUACAGCAACUCCCGUUAUCCAUACAGCCAAACAAUGCAAUCGCUGACUGAACAUUAUGGACAGCCGCAUCAAUUGGCGUUGCAGAAAAUUGCUGACUUGAUGGACGGACCAAAUAUUCGCAGUGGUGACACUCAGGCCUUUCGUAAGUUUGCCCUCAGAGUUCGAGCAUUAGUGGGUAUGCUUGACCAGCUGGAUGAGAAGGGAACUAUUGAAUUGCAGUGUGGUUCACACGUGGCAAGACUCAUGUCUAAACUCCCUCAUGAUCUCAAGGCUAACUUCAAGAGGUAUGUUCACCCCCUCAGAAACCCAAUUCCAAACCUGCUCGACUUUUCACACUGGCUUGAGUUUGAGCUGCAGGUGCAGCCCACUGACUGUAAACUCAAUACUAGUGAAAUGAGGGGACAAAUUAGUCAGCACAAAGAAGCUCCGCGACAGCGUAAGCACACUUUUCAGUCAACAGCCAUUUUGCAUGGUGUGGAUCAGUCAGCAGACCCUCCAGCUGCAAAAUCAUCAGAAUUUCAAAACCCUGGCAAAAUUGUGUACUGUCAUUACUGUGAUAAUAAUCACCACUAUCUUAACCAGUGCAAUAACUUCACACAGCUAACCAGUGAGCUCAAAACUAACUGGAUUAAGUCAAAUAAGAGAUGUUGGAGGUGUGGACGGAAACAUCAGGCAGCCCAGUGCAGAUUGAAAGCCACAUGCAAAACUUGCAAUGGCAAACAUCUAACUGUUUUGCAUGACAUCAACAGCAAAUCAACAGAGAUGAAGCACAACCAUGAAAGAUCCCAAGAGAGUCAGAUGUUAUACCUAGAUCGUCCAGCAGGUGGUAGCCAAGUCCUUCUGAAAAUUUGUAAAGUGCUGUUGCGUAAUGGCAAAAAUUCAAUUAUGACUUAUGCUAUUUUGGACGAUGGCUCUGAACGUACAAUCCUGCUUCAUGGUGCAGCACAGCAGCUUAAACUUAAUGGACAGACUGAAGCCCUCUCUUUGAGAACGGUUCGACAUGACACCCAAGUCAUACAAGGUACAAGAGUAUCUUUCACUCUGUCCCCAGCAUUUCAGCCAAGCAAAAGGUUCAAGAUAACGGGUGCCUUUACAGCUGAGAAUUUCGGCUUGGCCAAGCAUUCACAUCCAGUUACCCUUCUGCAAAGGAAAUACCAGCAUCUCAAAGGGCUGCCUCUUCAUGCCUUUGCUCAGGUUCAGCCAUUGUUGCUUAUAGGCUCUGAUCAUCACCAUUUAAUCAUGCCCAUGGAGCCAGUUCACUUCGGCCCACCAGGCGGGCCAGCUGCUAUAAGGACCAGAUUAGGCUGGACACUGCAAGGGCCAGCCAAUGUACUCCAGCACCAAAUCCCAGAGCAUCAAUGCCUUUUCACAUCUGUGACUUCCACCUCAUCAGAGCUGUUGCAACAUGUUGAGAGACUCUGGCAGCUUGACAUACUACCAUAUCGCAAUGAGAAGGUGGUGACACGUUCACGUUGUGAUCAGGAGGCCAUCACUCUGCUUGAGACCAAGACUGUAAGGGUAAAUGUAAAUGGAGUGUUUCGUUAUGCUACACCGCUUCUGCGAAAAAGGGACAUGCCCGAAUUGAAAGCGCCUAAAGAGUCUGUUCUCCCCAACCUCAGAGCUUUAGAAAGGCGUCUCAGUAAAAGUCCCGAACAUGCAAAGGCAUAUAACCAGGAAAUUGAAAGGCUGGAUCAAUCUGGUUAUGUUGUCAAGCUGGCUGCUGAAGCAGUUGAUCACAGCCCUGAAUCAUGGUACAUACCGCACCACAUGGUACACCAUAACGGAAAGCACAGAGUAGUGUACAACUGUUCCUUUCAUUACCAAGGCCAUAACCUCAAUGAGUACCUCCUAGCUGGGCCUACCCUCACCUCCACUUUGCUAGGAGUGUUACUCCGAUUCAGAGAGCAUGCAAUUGCCAUCACAAGCGAUAUCAAGGGCAUGUUUCACCAGAUUCGUCUGCUCCCAGAGGAUAAACCACUUCUCAGAUUUCUGUGGAGAAACAUGCAGCGUGAUACACCAGUCAGUGUCUAUGAAUGGCAGGUUUUGCCUUUUGGGACUACAUGCAGCCCGUGCUGUGCAACAUUUGCCGUCCUAAAACAUGUCCAAGAGAACACUGUUCCAGGAGAAGAGACACGUGUGGCUGUAGAAAAACAUUUCUAUGUGGACAAUUUCCUGCAGAGUGUAACUUCUAUUGACAAAGCGACUGAACUGGUGAAUAAGAUUCAAGCUCUUUUAGUUUCUGGUGGGUUCGAGUUAAGACAAUGGGCUAGCAACAUUCCUUCUGUCGUUGCACACCUUCCUGUAGAAUCCAGAUCUGAGAGAAAUGAGCUUUGGCUUACUGAAAAGGAAUGGGAUGUCUCUGUAUCCACCUUGGGUCUACAUUGGCUUUGCCAAGCAGACACACUUGGUUACAAAGCUCGUCUGAAGGAACCACAAGUUCCUACAAUGAGGUAUGUCUAUCAGGUCGUAGCUAGUCAGUAUGACCCACUUGGCUACAUUAUCCCCUUCACAACCAGAGCCAAAGUACUGAUACAAAGACUGUGGGAUAAAAAACGAGAGUGGGAUGACCCAUUGCUACCAAGUGACCUCUUGCAAGCCUGGCUUGAAUGGGAAGCAGAAUUGCAGUACCUGAACAAGAUUGCUAUACCACGAUGCUACACUAGUACAGAACUGGAUUCUAAAGUGUGCAAAAGAGACAUCCACAUAUUCUGCGAUGCUUCUAAUAAUGCGUAUGGGUCAGUGGCGUAUCUUAGAACAGAGAGUCCUCAAGGCCAAGUCGAGGUUGCAUUUAUCACAGCAAGAUCAAGGGUGGCACCAAAGCGGCAGUUAUCUGUUCCCCGGCUAGAACUCUGUGCAGCACUUAGUGGGGCUCAAUUGGCAAGACUUCUGGAAAAGGAACUCACCCUGAACAUUCAACAGGUGACAUUGUGGAGUGACUCAAAGACAGUUUUAUCUUGGAUUCAAUCAGAUUCAUGCAGAUAUAAAGUGUUUGUUGGCACAAGGAUUGCAGAAAUUCAGGAACUGACUGCUUCUCAGGCAUGGCAUUAUGUGAAGUCUGAAAACAAUCCUGCAGAUGACAUUACCCAUGGUAAAACACUUCACCAACUCUCAGUGCCAAGUCACUGGAAACAAGGACCACAUUUUUUGUGGCAAGACCCAAGUACCUGGUCUAAUGACACGGAGGAAUUGGUCACAGACAGUACAGAUGAAGAGGAGAAAGUUACCUUCUGCAGCCUGACCACAGUAGAUUUCUCCGACAUCAUGCAAGAAUUCUCAUCAUACCACAGUUUUGAUCAACUGGUGGAACAUGAAGCACAGAAACAAUUAAAACAAGCCAAUCGGACAAGAGAUUUAUCCGCCCAAGACUACGUAGCUGCUGAGAUAUCACUCUUUAAACAAGCCCAAGCUAUGUGUUUCCCAGUUGAACUUGAUACAUUAACAUGUGGUAAAUCUUUGCCUCCCAACAGCAGAUUAGUCUCACUUGCACCGGAGAUUGACCAAUCUACUGGGCUCAUAAGAGUUGGUGGCCGUUUGCGACGUAGUGAGCUGCUUAGGCCAGAUACUGUCCAUCCAAUUGUCAUUGAUCCCAAACACCCACUCAGUCAACUCCUGAUCCAACAUUAUGAUGAAAAACUUCAUCAUCCUGGCCCAGAAAGAGUAUUUGCUGAGUUACGCCGUAAAUACUGGAUCAUCAGAGGGCGAGAAGCAGUACGGCGGCACCAACAUCAGUGUCGUGAAUGCAAAAAAUGGCGUGGAAAGCCUGAAGUGCCAAAAAUGGCUGAUUUACCACCAGCCCGACUCCGUCUCUACCGCCCAGCUUUUUAUUCGACAGGUGUUGAUUGUUUUGGGCCUUAUACAAUCAAAGUAGGCCGGCGCAAUGAAAAACGGUGGGGGAUCAUAUUUAAAUGUAUGACGACCAGAGGAGUCUACAUUGAUUUACUUCCUAAAAUUGAUACAGAUUCAUUCCUCAUGGCCCUACGCAGAUUCACUGCACGCAGAGGAACUCCCCAUGAACUCUAUUCUGACCGGGGAACCAACUUCAAGGGAGGAGAAAGGGAACUAUCAGAAGCAUUUGCGGCCAUGCAACCCAAUCUGCAAAGUCAGCUUGCAAAGCAGAAAAUUCAGUUUAAAUUCAAUCCCCCUGGAGCUCCUCAUUUUGGUGGACUAUGGGAGAGGGAGAUCAGGUCUCUAAAAUCUGCUCUCAAUGUUACCCUUGGAGCCCAACAUGUAACUGAGGAAGUGCUUAGCACAGUGCUUACAGAGAUCGAAGGCAUGUUAAACUCCAAACCCCUGGGCUACGUGUCAUCGGACAUUGCAGAUGUUGACCCCAUCACACCAAACAGCCUGUUAUUGGGGCGGCCAGACCCUGAUUUACCCCAAAUUGUAUACCCUGAGUCCGAAUUACUUAGCAGAAAACGCUGGAGACAUAGCCAGGUCCUUGCCGACCAUUUUUGGGCCCACUUCAUCAAGAGAUACUUGCCUGAACUGCAAACUCGUACAAAGUGGAUUACUGAGACUGGCAAAGAUCUAAAGACCGGGACAGUAGUGAUGAUAGUGGAUCACCAAUUGCCUCGAGCCCUCUGGCCAGUGGGUAAGGUCUCAGCCACAGUACCCGGUGCUGAUGGGAAAAUUAGAACUGCUGAAGUACAAGUGCAGGGUCGGAAAUACAUCCGACCAGUGAGUAAACUUAUCUGUUUGCCACCUCUACCUGAGGAUAACAAAGACUCGUAAGCCUUUUCUAAGUAGAAUUUACAACGUAAAUUGGGGCGGCUGUUGAAAAGGCUCUAAGUUAAUUCUUAUUGGUGGGUGAAUGAUUGACAGUCGUAACUUAGUCCCGCCCCCAGAGUCUGACGCAACUUAUGUUUCGCUUGAAGGCUGUGGAGGGCUCGCGUGUAUUCAAGCCAUAGAUGAGUGUGCGUAACUUUGAAAGUAAGUUUAAUUUCCACUUAUACCGUCUUUAAUCUUGUUUCUAUUGUUAUUUGCUGUAUUAUGGGUUGAAACGUUCAGAUGUUGAGUGUUUUCGGAUUUCCGUGAGGCUAAUGUUAGCGGUAUGACUGUGUGCAUUAUCUUUGCACGUGUGUUCCGAUGCGCGCUGUAUAAGUGAAAUAAUCACAACGACUCAUAUUUUUCCAUAUGUUUACUUUAUUGUCUACAAUUUACAGAUGUUAUUAAGCCAUAUUUAUGUGGAUUGUGAAGAUUACACUCGAUUGAGAUAUGGUUAUAAGACGAUAGUCACGUGUCUAUUUAUAGUCAAUUGUUACAUUUUAUAGUCAUGUAUCCUCACGCGUUUGAGUGAAAUGUAUAUCAUUUAUUACUGUAAACUGAUUAUUUAUAUUUCUGUUUUAUUGUAGAAACCACACUCACACACCCUUAAUAUGUUCAUGCCAUGCCCUGAGUAUGUUGAUGGCUUGAUCCUACUAUUAAAACAGUGAUUGGACUUUGGACUUUUGUGCAUUCUUACCGAUGUCCUGUGAUGAUCCCAACUAAGUCGGAACCAGGCAAUACAGUCCAUAAACCUAAUUAACAGGUAGUUAUAAGGAGCAACUUCAUACCUAACUGAAGCUUAAGGUUGUCCACCAUUUUUUCUCAUCUUUAAAAUUUGAAGUCUCUUCAGCUUCU